GAUGAAGAACGCAGCGAAAUGCGAUAAGUAAUGUGAAUUGCAGAAUUCAGUGAAUCAUCGAAUCUUUGAACGCACCUUGCACCCUUUGGUAUUCCGAAGGGUAUGCUCGUUUGAGUGUCAUUGUACUCUCACACUUCUAAUUCCUUUCGGGAUUGGGAGCGGUGGACUUGGGUGUUGCUGCUUUAGUUGUGGCUCACCUCAAAUAAGUUAGUGCAACUCUUGGUUGGACAUAGUACGGCGUGAUAAGUGUCUUCGCCGGCGCCUCUGUAAGGAGGGUGGCCGAUCGGGAGCUCUGUGCUUCAAACCGUCUUCGGACAACAUCUGACAACUUGACCUCAAAUCGAGUAGGACUACCCGCUGAACUUAAGCAUAUCAAUAAGCGGAGGA
rnacentral:misc_RNA from 1 species